CGGAUCUCGAAAGCCUGUCCCAGUUCGGACUGGAGUCUGCAACCCGACUCCACGAAGUUGGAUUCGCUAGUAAUCGCGCAUCAGCCAUGGCGCGGUGAAUACGUUCCCGGGCCUUGUACACACCGCCCGUCAAGCCAUGGGAGCCGGGGGCGCCUGAAGUCCGGGACCGCGAGGACCGGCCUAGGGCGGAACUGGUAACUGGGGCUAAGUCGUAACAAGGUAUC
rnacentral:rRNA from 1 species